rnacentral:rRNA from 1 species
AUUGAACGCUGGCGGCAGGCCUAACACAUGCAAGUCGAACGAGUGGCGGACGGGUGAGUAAUGUAUGGGAAACUGCCUGAUGGAGGGGGAUAACUACUGGACACGGUAGCUAAUACCGCAUACCCUCGGAUGUGCCCAGAUGGGAUUAGCUAGUAGGGGGGGUAAAGGCUCACCUAGGCGACGAUCCCUAGCUGGUCUGAGAGGAUGACCAGCAAAACUGGAACUGAGACACGGCCCAGACUCCUACGGGAGGCAGCAGUGGGAAAUAUUGCACAAUGGGCGCAAGCCUGAUGCAGCCAUGCCGCGUGUAUGAAGAAGGCCUUCGGGUUGUAAAGUACUUUCAGCGGGGAGGCGUUACCCGCAGAGGAAGCACCGGCUAACUCCGUGCCAGCCGCCGCGGUAAUUC